rnacentral:rRNA from 1 species
AUUGAACGCUGGCGGCAGGCCUAACACAUGCAAGUCGAGCGGAUGAAGGGAGCUUGCUCCUGGAUUCCGCGGCGGACGGGUGAGUAAUGCCUAGGAAUCUGCCUGGUAGUGGGGGAUAACGUCCGGAAACGGGCGCUAAUACCGCAUACGUCCUGAGGUAGAAAGUGGGGGAUCUUCGGACCUCACGCUAUCAGAUGAGCCUAGGUCGGAUGAGCUAGUUGGUGGGGUAAAGGCCUACCCCGGCGACGCUCCGUAACUGGUCUGAGAGGAGGAUCAGGCACACUGGAACUGAGACACGGUACAGACUCCUACGGGAGGCAGCAGUGGGGAAUAUUGGACAAUGGGCGAAAGCCUGAUCCAGCCAUGCCGCGUGUGUGAAGAAGGUCUUCGGAUUGUAAAGCACUUUAAGUGGGGAGGAAGGGCAGUAAGUUAAUACCUUGCUGUUGUGACGGUACCAACAGAAGAAGCACCGGCUAACUUCGUG